UUUUAAAUAUUCCCUAGCACUAUUAAAUUUUAAGGAAGUAUGCUUAGAAAUCACAUUAUUCUCUUGUAGAGUUUCAGUUGCCCAGCAAUAUCAUUAAAUCCUCUGGAGUGAUUCCAGCCCCAUAAAAAUUAGGGACCCCUUUACAUUGUUUCCAUAUUCAAAUGGAAAUCUUUUUGCAAGUUAGUAAUUAAAGUAUUUAACCUCUCUCUCCCUCCAUUUAUUAGAAAACUCUUUUUUCUUUAUUUUUUCAAUUACGAAAAACUGCUAAAGCCAAUCAUGCAUUUAUUUUGAUAAACCGCUUGUAACAGUCUCAGCUAAAUUCUGCAAAUACAAAAAAAAAAAAAGCUAAAUAAUCACCCUGAGCAGAUUUUGUAGAGACCUUACUCAACCUGUUCAGGGAUAAUUAUGCCGAGCUUUUAGUAUGGGGCAAAGGAAAACAUAAAAUUAAGGCAUGAAAGAAAGUCUACCUAUUUUGAGAAAAUACUGGGAUAAUUGGUACUCUUUUUAUUGCCAUUUUAUUAUACAAAGAUAUUGUCUUGCCAUGAAAUAUAGGUUUAGAGCAGUGAAAUAGUACUAUGUGGGGUUGAGAGAAUUUCUGUGGUAGAUGGAUUGAUUUAAAAUGUAAUAAAAAUAGCAAAUUGCUAAACAAUG
rnacentral:lncRNA from 1 species